GGGCUUACUAGUAGGUGAAAGUGGUAGUAGGGCAUCCGCUUUGCACGCAGAAGGUCCCAGGUUCAAUUCCUGACAUCUCUG